UACGGAGGGUGCAAGCGUUAUCCGGAUUCACUGGGUUUAAAGGGUGCGUAGGUGGGCUGGUAAGUCCGUGGUGAAAUCCCCGAGCUUAACUCGGGAACUGCCGUGGAUACUAUCAGUCUUGAAUACUGUGGAGGUAAGCGGAAUAUGUCAUGUAGCGGUGAAAUGCUUAGAUAUGACAUAGAACACCAAUAGCGAAGGCAGCUUACUACACGGUUAUUGACACUGAGGCACGAAAGCGUGGGGAGCAAACAGG
rnacentral:misc_RNA from 1 species